rnacentral:rRNA from 1 species
GAUGAACGCUAGCGGCAGGCUUAAUACAUGCAAGUCGAGGGGCAGCAUGACUGUAGCAAUACAGUUGAUGGCGACCGGCAAACGGGUGCGGAACACGUACAGAACCUUCCUUCGAGCGGGGAAUAGCCCAGAGAAAUUUGGAUUAAUACCCCAUAGUACAACGGAGUGGCAUCACUUUGUUGUUAAAGAUUUAUCAAUUGAAGAUGGCUGUGCGGCUGGUUAGGUAGUUGGCGGGGUACCGGCCCACCAAGCCUGCGAUCAGUAACUGGUGUGAGAGCACGACCAGUCACACGGGCACUGAGACACGGGCCCGACUCCUACGGGAGGCAGCAGUAAGGAAUAUUGGUCAAUGGACGAAAGUCUGAACCAGCCAUGCCGCGUGGAGGAUGAAGGUCCUCUGGAUUGUAAACUUCUUUUAUAUGGGACGAAAAAAGGGUUUUCUAACUCGUCUGACGGUACCAUAUGAAUAAGCACCGGCUAACUCCGUGCCAGCCGCCGCUGUAAUAC